CCCUUAGAUGUUCUGGGCUGCACGCGCGCUACACUGUCGGAUUCAGCGAGUCAUAUCCUUAACCGAAAGGUUUGGGUAAUCUUUUGGAAGUCCGACGUGAUGGGGAUUGAUCAUUGCAAUUAUUGAUCAUGAACGAGGAAUUCCUAGUAAGCGCGAGUCAUCAGCUCGCGUUGAUUACGUCCCUGCCCUUUGUACACACCGCCCGUCGCUACUACCGAUUGAAUGGUUUAGUGAGAUCUUCGGAUUGGCGCCUACGCGGCUUCUCUGAGGCCACGCUGGAUGCCGAAAAGUUGCUCAAACUGUAUCAUUUAGAGGAAGUAAAAGUCGUAACA
rnacentral:rRNA from 1 species